AAUUUUGGACAAUGGGGGAAACCCUGAUCCAGCCAUCCCGCUUGUGGGAUGAAGGCCUUCGGGUUUUAAAGCACUGUUGACAGGGAAGUAAUGGUAGAGGCUAAUAACCUCUGCAGAUGACGGUACCUGUAGAAUAAUCACCGGCUAACUACGUGCCAGCAGCCGCGGUAAUACGUAGGGUGCAAGCGUUAAUCGGAAUUACUGGGCGUAAAGGGUACGCAGGCGGCUAGGAAAGAAAGAUGUGAAAUCCCAGGGCUCAACCUUGGAACUGCAUUUUUAACUACCUGGCUAGAGUAUGUCAGAGGGGGGUAGAAUUCCACGUGUAGCAGUGAAAUGCGUAGAGAUGUGGAGGAAUACCGAUGGCGAAGGCAGCCCCCUGGGAUAAUACUGACGCUCAGGUACGAAAGCGUGGGGAGCAAA
rnacentral:rRNA from 1 species